AUCUGGGGCAGACGGAAAGUCACAGAGACAGCCUCCAACGAACCCAAGAUGCCCUGAAGCAGACACACAGCAGCAAGGAAGGAGCCAGGGACACUGCAGCUGUCAGGAAUUAAAGAAACAGCAAACCAUUGGAACCCCAUUGAAUCAUUACAAUUCGAUGGUGACAAACAUCGGAAUGACACCACUGAAUGGAAUGUGCCUGUGUCCUGACCUUCAUCUGCCCACUUUGAAGAAACCCUUUAUAUAGACCUCCAUCAGUAGAGCAACAGCAAAUGGAGCAGACUGGAAUCUGAGGAGAGUGCCCAAUUAAGGUGACUGAUGCUGGAAUGUACACAAUAGAAAAUGGAGCACACUAAAAUUUGAAGAGAGUGCCCAGUUAUGGUGACUGGCGUGGGGAGUGCACAGCAACAAAUGAAGCACACUGGAAACUAUGGACAGUGCCCAGCUGUUGUGACUGGUGGGGAGAGUGUGCACAGGAACAAAUGAAGCACACUGGAAACUAUGGAGAGUGUCCAGCUGUAGUGACUGGCAGUGAGAGCCCACAUAGCAGCAAAUGGAGCACACUGGAAUAUGAGGAGAGCACAAAGCUAUGGUGACU